AACCUGGUUGAUCUUGCCAGUAGUCAUAUGCUUGUCUCAAAGAUUAAGCCAUGCAAGUGAAAGUAUAUAUAUAUUUUAUAUGUAGAAACUGCGAACGGCUCAUUAAAACAGUUAUAGUCUACUUGACAUUUUUAUUAUAAGGAUAACUACGGAAAAGCUGUAGCUAAUACUUGCUUUAUUAUCCUUUGAUUUUAUAUCUUAGGAUAAGUACUUGUUAGGCCUUAUAAGAAAAAAGUUAUUAACUUAAGGAAUUAUAACAAAGAAGUAACACGUNNNNNNNNNNNNNNNNNNNNNNNNNNNNNNNNNNNNNNNNNNNNNNNNNNUUUACUGCUAAUGUAAAAGAGAAAUUAUAUAUGUACCUACUUUUGGUACAUAAAUAAUCCUAUCACCUUUUUCGUGAGCUGUGAGCUGUGAGCUAGGCAAUAGUUCUUUAACAACAAAAAAGAAUUGCACAAACUGUAGACGACUUUUUUGCCUCAGGGUGCUGUAAACAUGAAAGUAAACUUUGUUUUACGAUCUGUUGAGGCUUAUCCCUAGUGGUAAAGUGUUUUUUGAAAAAUAUAAUAAUAUAUAAAAAUAUUUUACCUAUUUUUAUAUUUAUUAUAUAAUUAUAGAAAUAUAUUUUAUAAAAUAUUUAUUAUAUAAAGUAUUAUUAAUUUAUACUUUAUAUGGUUUAUAUUUUAUAAAUAUAAAAUAACAAUUUUUAAAAUAUCAAAUUUUUUGUUACAAAGAUGGAAUUUUUUCUAAGUAAUAUUUUUAUCAUUAUCUUCAGUUGUAUAUUUUAUAUAAUUCCAGAAAUUAUAAAUAUUAUUUAGUAUAACUUCCAUUAUUUAUUCAUUUUUUAAGUAUAUUAUUUUAUAUCAUAUUAUGUUUUUUAUUAAUUAUAAUAAAAAAUAUGUUAUAUGAAUAAAAGUAAUAAUCUUGAAAAGAACAAUUUUUAAUAAAUCAAUAUUUUAUAAUUUUUUUUUUUUUUUUUUUGAAAGUACAUUUUUUCAUAUUUAUUAUAAUAAUGUUUAUAUUAAUUAUUUUUUAAAAUUCCUUGUUUUUAACUUUACAUAAUAUACAUAUGUUUAUCCCGCUUCUAUUGUUUCGUGUAUGUUUUAUUAUUAAAUUUAAAAUUUUAAUUCUUUAUUCUUCAAUAUAUUAUUAUGUAUAUUGAAUUUAUUUUUAAAGUUCUGAAGGAAUUUUUAUUUUUUAUUGCUUAUUAAUUUUACUCUUAGGUUUUAUAUUAUUUUUUAUUUAUCAUUCGUUAUUAGUUAAAAUAUUAUUAUAUUAUUAUAUUAAAGAUCACUUUUAUUUUUAUUCAAAUUAAAUUUCUUUCCGCCCCCUAUCUAUUAUACUAAUGUUUCCUUCUAUUUUUUCUUAUUUUAAUUAUUGAUAAAAUAUGAAGCUUAAUUUUUACAUUUUUUUUCUUAUUUUUUUUCAACUUCAAAAUUAUAAGUAAAAUAAUAUAUAUUUUGUAUGAUAUAUAUAAUAAUAUUAUAUACUUAUUAAAUUCAUAAAAUUAAAUUUUAUUGCAUAAUUACUUUUCAAAUAUAAUAAUAUAGAAAUAAUAUUAAAUAUAUUUUAAGUUUUAUAUAAAAUCCAUUUAUUAACUAUAUAGAAAUAUAAUAUAUAUUCCCUUUCAAAAUAAGUUAUGUAAACAAUAUAUUAAUUAUAUAUAUGUAUAACAAUUAAUUAUAAUUCACAAAAAAUAUUCAAGAGAAAUUAUUAAAAUUAAAGUUUUGUAUUUUUUU
rnacentral:rRNA from 1 species